AGAUUGAACGCUGGCGGCAUGCCUAACACAUGCAAGUCGAACGGGAGUAGCAAUACUCUAGUGGCGGACGGGUGAGGAAUACGUAGGAAUUUGCCCUUAAGUGGGGGAUAACCCGGGGAAACCCGGAUUAAUACCGCAUGACCUCGAAAGAGCAAAGUGGGGGAUCGCAAGACCUCACGCUUUUGGAGAAGCCUACGUCGGAUUAGCUAGUUGGUGAGGUAAUGGCUCACCAAGGCGACGAUCCGUAACUGGUCUGAGAGGAUGAUCAGUCACACCGGAACUGAGACACGGUCCGACUCCUACGGGAGCAGCAGUGGGGAAUAUUGGACAAUGGGCGCAAGCCUGAUCCAGCAAUGCCGCGUGUGAAGAA
rnacentral:rRNA from 1 species